CCUGAUGCAGCAACGCCGCGUGAGGGACGACGGCCUUCGGGUUGUAAACCUCUUUUAGCAAGGAAGAAGCGAAAGUGACGGUACUUGCAGAAAAAGCGCCGGCUAACUACGUGCCAGCAGCCGCGGUAAUACGUAGGGCGCAAGCGUUAUCCGGAAUUAUUGGGCGUAAAGAGCUCGUAGGCGGUUUGUCGCGUCUGCUGUGAAAACCCGAGGCUCAACCUCGGGCCUGCAGUGGGUACGGGCAGACUAGAGUGCGGUAGGGGAGAUUGGAAUUCCUGGUGUAGCGGUGGAAUGCGCAGAUAUCAGGAGGAACACCGAUGGCGAAGGCAGAUCUCUGGGCCGUAACUGACGCUGAGGAGCGAAAGGGUGGGGAGCAAACAGGCUUAGAUACCCUGGUAGUCCACCCCGUAAACGUUGGGAACUAGUUGUGGGGUCCAUUCCACGGAUUCCGUGACGCAUCUAACGCAUUAAGUUCCCCGCCUGGGGAGUACGGCCGCAAGGCUAAAACUCAAAGGAAUUGACGGGGACCCGCACAAGCGGCGGAGCAUGCGGAUUAAUUCGAUGCAACGCGAAGAACCUUACCAAGGCUUGACAUAUACGAGAACGCUGCAGAAAUGUAGAACUCUUUGGACACUCG
rnacentral:rRNA from 1 species